UCCAACAACGAGAUAAGCAGCAUUUUCUGCGCAUUCUGCGAGGGAUCACACCCGCCAGGUUCCAUUAGUGAUGGACGGCUUCUCGUGCCCAAAAGGAGGAACAUAAGGAUUGUGAGUGACAUCUGGGUAGGUGUCCCUUGAAAGAGAGCAAUCCGUGGACAGUGCGUACGAGAAUCAUCCAAACUGUCAUGGAGUCGCUCUCUUUAAAGUGGUGCCGGAUUACGACGCUGGAGCAGUUUGAAAGUCGCGCGACCUGGUACAACGGAUGUCUAUUGACAUUGAAGGCCAUGGUUCUACUACAGACGUCGCCCGCAGUGUGACAGAGGCCUGCUCUGUUCUACGUUGAAGAAGUUCAUAACGACACAAAAAUCAUCAAACGUCAUCAUAUAAGGAAACACGCAGGAUUAUACACGAACAGUGUACGGCUUCUUUCAUCUAAGGAAGACUGGUAUAAUUUUGAUGUGCCCUGCCGAGGACACCAGCGACUUGGUGGCAGGGUACAAGUUGCUUCGACACGCCGUCAUCAGCGAGGGACGUUAUAUACUGGUGUGCAGUCUGCUGAGCUUCCGGAACCCUCAGGUGCAAAACUAAUACACUCACAGUACUCUGUUCACGUAACUUUAAAGUAAAUCGUUAUUUUUACAGCGACUGUAGGCAUAGUCAGCAAAGGACGCAUACCAAUCCCUAUUCCCCUCACUCUAAAAACGAAGCUUCACCGCAUAGCCCCUCCUAGCCAAUCAUCAUCCCGAGUGACGAAGUUCCCUUCCUUGAUUUGGUGAAAACGGAAGGUAGUACGCCAUUUUUGUGGCAAUUAUCCACUCAUCAUCAUCAAAUGGUACGGGGAAUGGUGUUCCAGCUACCUCAAUGUUAUAUUUAGUACAUCUCUCAAAUUUGCAGCUAUACCUAUAGAGCACGAAAAUGCGCUCUGGUAAUCCCUGUACAUAAAUCAGGCUGUGCGAUGACGCCCAAUAACUAUGGGGCUUACUCUCCAUCAUCAGCAAAAUUUCAGAGCACUAUGUUUGUGAUCAAAUAUCUAAAUCUCUUGAGCAAGGCGGUUUGUUUUGUCAACGGCAACACGGGUUUCGUCGUGUCUGGUCUACCAUAGCUCAACUGAUCGAGACUGUACAAAUAUUCUCAGAUACACUAAAUGUAGGAGGUCACACCGUUGUACUGUUUCUCGAUAUUUCGAAGGCAUUUCACCACGUACGUCAUCCGAAGCUACUAAAGAAACUUCAUGAAAUUCUCCCUAAUGUGAACCUGAUUAAAUGGCAAUGAAAAAAAAAAAUGUCUAAGAAGCAAGCGAGCUGGUGAAGAUGAUGCAUAAUGUAAAAACUUCGAGACUAGGGAACACGACGGACCAGACACAAACUCGAUGUCUCAAGACGAGACUUCGUGUUUGUGUCUGUCCCUUCGUGUUCCCUAGUCUCCAGGUUUUUUCAUUAUGCAUGAUUACGGUAAAUGGAUUGAGCUCUACCUUCGUGAUAGAUCACACUACGUUUCAGUCCAGAAUUACCUCUGCACCGUUCUUCUGGUUACCUCUGGCGAUCCACAGAGUUCAGUGCUUGUGCCCUUCUUUACUUUUAAAUAUUGAACAACGAUCUUCCAAUUUUCUUUAUCCGUCCCCUGCCGUCUUUAUGCCGACGACUGCAUGCUAUUUCAUGAAAGUAGAAGUAGUUCUGACCUCGAAAUGUUGAACUGUUCGCUGAUGCACGUACAUAGUUGGACUAAAGAUUGGCAGAUGCAACUAAACAUUAGUAAAUUACCUAUCAGGCUAUAACGUAUAACUAUAGGGUUCCGCGUUUUCUAUGUUUAUUUUUGGGCGGAUUCUGCGUAUGUUUUUCGAUGUUUAUUGAUUUUUGCGAAACUGGAGUUUUUCGAUGCUUUUCCUUGCGUGUACAUGGUUUACUCGUCAGUUAUCGGCGAAUAGCAAUUACAAUGUAGUUUCAGCGUUGAGCGCGUCUACGUGGAAAGUGGAGGUGUAUGUACUGUCGUAACCUCCCCACUAAACAUCUAAAGGCCGGUGACCGAGAUUCUUCUUGACGUCACGUCCCUAAAAGGAUCACAAACGCAGUGGGGCACCUACAAUUGCAGAAGACUUACUGUCAACUUACCUGUCAUUGUUCCUGGAAUUCGAAUCUGUAUUCGAUGUUUUUCGAUUAAAACCGAACGCGGGAAAAUUUACCCGGUGUAUGUUUUUCGAUUAAAACCGAAAACGCAGAACCCUACCUAUAACCUUACCUAUAACCCUACCUAUAACCUUACCUAUAAUCUUACCUAUAACCUUGAGGAGAAAUCUACAAAACUACACAUAUACAAGGGACGGGUGCUCAUUCGCCACUGUUUCUGAAGCUAAAUAUUUGAUUCCAAUAGUUACGUCUGACGAAAAAUGGAACAAACAUAUAUAACUUAUUGUUCGUAGGGCCUCUAAAGUUCACGCAUCCCCAGUGGGGAUGCGUGAACUUUCGCACAGCACAGUAUGGCAGAUAUCGAUAUACCGUUUCGGCAAUUGAAAUGCUAGAUGGAAGCUGCGUAUCAUUCCCCAUGAUUAUCAAGUCUUCACUUCCCUUAGGUUGAGGUGCAGUUUAGAAGUUUCAGUAAUGCUAGAACCACCUUGUUCGCCCUGGGAUUCUCUGCUCAUCUUUGGCUUUUUUUUUUUCUUUUUCAGUGUGGAGUAGAAUUCUGCGUUACUGCCCUGCAAAUUCCCCGGGGGUAUCACCGUCUGAGAAGAGAUUGCCAUGGAAACACAAUUUGACCCGAGUUUAGAGUUCGGGGCCACGACAGAGAAAAAGUCUCGAAUCCUCUUGGAUCAGUAAAAUGUAGCGCACAUAAAAUUGAAAAAAGAAGAACCUAAAGGAGAUAGAGAUAGCAAGAAGGAACGUAACAGGACCCGGAAAGAAAUUCAGUUAAGUGCAAAACAUUACGUAGCCGUUUCUCCGCGGCGGUGUUUACUUUGAAGGACAGAAACGGGACGUACAACCUUUUUCGUUACUUCCUCUGUGUGUGUGUGUGUGUGUGUGUGUUGACCCUUGCAGAUGCCGCUCACUGCGGUGACCUGGAAGAUCUAGAGCACAUUCUUCUUCAUUGCCCACACUACCACGCCUCACGAACCUUUCCUGGUCUCUCAAUCAGCAGGAUUUGCGACCCCCCCCCCCCCUUUGCUAUAUGUCAAGAUUGCUUGGUCCGUGACCAAAUCCAGCCCACCAGAACUCUGCCUUCAAAGUUCUUCUGACCUUUUCGGAUACCGUAGGACUUCGGUUCUCACUGUGAGGUGACUCUUGAGUUGUUGUUGUUGACUAGAUAUAUUACUGGUUCAAUUCCACGCCUAUGGCGUUUGAUCCUCCUAAUUCGUGCCGUUUAUUGUAUUGAUUUCUUUGUCCCAGUUUGUGUGGCAUUACGUUUGUACAAGCUGUAAAAUAAAACAUUUGAACUGAACUGAA